rnacentral:rRNA from 1 species
CCUACGGGGGGCUGCAGUGAGGAAUAUUGGUCAAUGGGCGCGAGCCUGAACCAGCCAAGUAGCGUGAAGGAUGACUGCCCUAUGGGUUGUAAACUUCUUUUAUAAAGGAAUAAAGUGCGGCACGUGUGCCUUUUUGCAUGUACCUUAUGAAUAAGGAUCGGCUAACUCCGUGCCAGCAGCCGCGGUAAUACGGAGGAUCCGAGCGUUAUCCGGAUUUAUUGGGUUUAAAGGGUGCGUAGGUGGGUUGUUAAGUCAGUUGUGAAAGUUUGCGGCUCAACCGUAAAAUUGCAUUUGAUACUGGCAGUCUUGAGUACAGUUGAGGUAGGCGGAAUUCGUGGUGUAGCGGUGAAAUGCUUAGAUAUCACGAAGAACUCCGAUUGCGAAGGCAGCUUACUAAACUGCCACUGACAUUGAUGCUCGAAAGUGUGGGUAUCAAACAGGAGUAGAUACCCCUGUAGUC